AACGAACGCUGGCGGCAUGCCUAACACAUGCAAGUCGAACGAGACCUUCGGGUCUAGUGGCGCACGGGUGCGUAACGCGUGGGAACCUGCCCUUAGGUUCGGAAUAACUCCCCGAAAGGGGUGCUAAUACCGGAUAAUGUCUUCGGACCAAAGAUUUAUCGCCUUUGGAUGGGCCCGCGUUGGAUUAGCUAGUUGGUAGGGUAAAAGCCUACCAAGGCGACGAUCCAUAGCUGGUCUGAGAGGAUGAUCAGCCACACUGGGACUGAGACACGGCCCAGACUCCUACGGGAGGCAGCAGUGGGGAAUAUUGGACAAUGGGCGAAAGCCUGAUCCAGCAAUGCCGCGUGUGUGAUGAAGGCCUUAGGGUUGUAAAGCUCUUUUACCCGGGAUGAUAAUGACAGUACCGGGAGAAUAAGCUCCGGCUAACUCCGUG
rnacentral:rRNA from 1 species